rnacentral:rRNA from 1 species
UACGUAGGGGGCAAGCGUUAUCCGGAUUUACUGGGUGUAAAGGGAGCGUAGACGGUAUGGCAAGUCUGAUGUGAAAACCCGGGGCUCAACCCCGGGACUGCAUUGGAAACUGUCGGACUAGAGUGUCGGAGAGGCAAGUGGAAUUCCUAGUGUAGCGGUGAAAUGCGUAGAUAUUAGGAGGAACACCAGUGGCGAAGGCGGCUUGCUGGACGACGACUGACGUUGAGGCUCGAAAGCGUGGGGAGCAAACAGG